rnacentral:rRNA from 1 species
UUUUUUGAGAGUUUGAUCCUGGCUCAGGAUGAAUGCUGGCGGUGUGCCUUAAGCAUGCAAGUUGAACGGUAAGUUAGUCUUCGGACUAACACAAGUAGCAGACGGGUGAGUACAACACAGGAACUUACCCUCAAGUGGGGAAUAGCCAGUCGAAAGACUGGGUAAUACCGCAUGUGAUCUUCGGAUCAAAGCCUUCGGGCGCUUGGGGAGAGGCCUGUGCCCUAUCAGGUAGUUGGUGAGGUAAUAGCUCACCAAGCCGACAACGGGUAGCCGGUGUGAGAGCACGACCGGCCACAAGGUUACUGAGACACGGAACCUACACCUACGGGUGGCAGCAACUGGGAAUAUUGCGCAAUGGGCGAAAGCCUGACGCAGCGACACCGCGUGUGGGAAGACGCUCUUCGGAGUGUAAACCACUGUGGCAGGGGAACAAUUUUUGAGGGUACCCUGCUAGAAAGCACCUGCUAACUACGUGCCAGAAGCCUCGGUAAUACGUAGGGUGCAAGCAUUAUCCGGAUUUAUUGGGCGUAAAGCGUCCGUCGGCGUUUUAUUAAGUUUUAACUUUAAUACUGGAGCUUAACUCCAGAUACAGGUUAAAAUACUGGUAGAAUUGAGUUUACUAGGGGGAGCUGGAAUUCUCGGUGGAGGGGUGAAAUCCGUAGAUAUCGAGAGGAACACCAUUCGCGAAGGCGGGCUCCUGGAGUAUAACUGACGCUCAGGGACGAAAGUCUGGGUAGCAAAAGGGAUUAGAGACCCCUGUAGUCCAGACCGUAAACGAUCCUUGCUAAUUGCUUGAUUCUUCGAAUUGAGUGAUGUAAGCUAACGCGUUAAGCAAGGCGCCUGGGGAUUACGACCGCAAGGUUAAAACUCAAAGGAAUUGACGGGGGAGCGCACAACCGGUGGAGCAUGUGGUUUAAUUCGAUACAAAGCGAAAAACCUUACCUGGGUUUGACAUGUAACUGCACGGUCUAGGAAACUAGAUCUUCUUCGAGAGUGUUACACAGGUGUUGCAUGGCUGUCGUCAGCUCGUGUCGUGAGGCGUCCACUUAAGUGUGGUAACGAGCGCAACCCUUAUCCCGUGUUACAAGUGUCACGGGAGACUGCCUUGCUUUUUGCAGGGAGGAAGGAGAGGAUGACGUCAAGUCAGCACGACCCUUACAUCCAGGGCGACACACAUCCUACAAUGGAGCCGACAACGGGUAGCGAAGCCGCAAGGUGGAGCCAAUCCUUUAAACGGCCCCUCAGUUCAGAUUGUUCUCUGCAAUUCGAGAGCAUGAAGUCGGAAUCGGUAGUAAUCGCAAAUCAGCAGGUUGCGGUGAAUACGUUCUCGCUCCUUGUACACACUGCCCGUCAAACCAGCAAAGUUAGUAGCGCCCGAAGCGGGUGACCGUAACUCGCAAGAGAACGGCCCUUCUACGGCGAGAUUAGCGAUGAGGGUUAAGUCGUAACAAGGUAUCGGUACUGGAAGGUGCCGAUGGAUCACCUCCUUU